rnacentral:rRNA from 1 species
UUAGGUGACUAUUGCGGUGGGGUCCACCUCUUCCCAUUCCGAACAGAGAAGUUAAGCCCGCCAGCGCCGAUGGUACUGCAGUUUUUGUGGGAGAGUAGGUCGUCGCCAAUC